UCCCAAAGAAGGGUCGGACGUGUUCCUGCGUCGGGCCAGGCCGGGCCACGAGGGUUGUAAGCCCAGGCCCUAAAUGCUAGAU
rnacentral:sRNA from 1 species